ACCAGAGACAGGACAAGGAAGAGCUUGGACUUAUGGAGACAACAAACCUGAUCCUUGGGUUUAGGAUACAGAUCGUAUAGAAACCAUCUCAACUUCUUCCUCCAAGUCUGGACCUGGAAACACACAGAAGACGACUAAAUCUUUUAGUACAGUAAAGUCUAACAUAUUCCAAAUCAUAUUAGACAUAGAGGAUACAAAGAAUCCACAUCUUCAUUCCAGCGCAGGAUCAUCAGAACCAGUUCCUUCUGCACAUGUGAGCACUCACCACUAUAGAUCUCUUUGGGCAACAGAUGAUUAACCCUGAAUUAAUACAGUCAACCCUUACAUACUUGUACAAUUUUUAUCUAAUUUUAUUGCACAGCAAUUUAAUACAUACAUUAUUUUAUCUAUCUCCAUUGUAACUAGUCCCUUUUUAUCACGACUGGCCACUUUAUUUACAAUUCUUGCAUUUAGUCACCUUAUUUAGCGCCAGCACUUUGUAAUUAUAUUUCAAUUCAAUAUCAGUGGCUCACCACCAUUGUUAUAGUACAGACAGACAGG